rnacentral:tRNA from 1 species
AGCCUCGUAGUUCAGCUGAUAGAGCAGGCGCUGUACAAAAGCGUAGGCGGCAUCCAUGCGUGGGUUUGAAUCCCACCGAGGUUA